ensembl:lncRNA
AUCUCCCCCCAAACAACAACCCCCCGCUCUUCUUCUCCCCGUUGUCCUCCUCUACCCCUCCGCCGGCGCCAAGCAACGCCUCGGCCCUCCUCUCUUCUUCUUCUUCUUCUUCUUCUUCUCCUGCGACGCACAGCAGCAGCACCGCCGUGUCAUCCAAGACCUCCACUGGGCUGACCAACGUGAACACGAGGCCCGUAUCCACGACGACCGCCACGCCCAUCACGCCCUUCCACACGCCGGCCAGCCCACCCGGCCGACAGGUAUCACAGCCCGCGGGCACACCUGGUCCUGUGCGAGCCAACCAGAGCCCCUCCCCCGUGAGGCAGCGGGUCUCCCAGCAGACCCUGCUCCUGGGGAAAGGUCUCAAAGGGUCUGGGCCAGACCAGGUGCUGCUCAGAGCUCAGAUGCUCCAGAGCCUCACCCUGAGGCCCCCCCCCCACGGGGCCCUCACCAUCCCUCCCUCCCUUCGCCUCAAGCCGCCGUGCUCGGCUCAGCAUCGACUCUCUCGCCCUCAUGCCCCCCUCUUCCCCCCCCUGAGGCCGCGCCCGCAGUCCUGCCACACGGCGACGGAGAGACCAAACGCGCCCGGGCGCCACCUCUCCGUCCCGCCUCCGAGUAGGUCUCACUUACCUGUUUCACUUUCGGGAUUGUCGCUCAGCUGCCCGGUCGGUUGAAGCGGAGGAGGAAAGGGUGUUAGUGCGUCCACUCACUGGUCACAUGGUCUCACAGGGAGACGAAGAAGGACCGCGGCGCCUUUCCCGCGCACUUACUUCAUAAAAUGAAUUUUGGUCGGUUGCUCUU